GCUUCUUUAGUUCAAUGGCUAGAAUAGGUGUUUUGUAAUCACUUGAUAUUGGUUCGAUUCCAGUAAGAAGCUCCA
rnacentral:tRNA from 1 species